rnacentral:misc_RNA from 1 species
CGUAAAGGUGCAUGAGUGGUGUUCGGUUUGUUACGGGUGGUUGGCUCUUUGCUUGCGCAACAACUUCCACCUGGCAUACCUCUUCAGUCUUGUGUCAAUGCUUGUAUCGCAUUGAACGCACGGUGGGUUUCUUGUGUUGCAUGCCUAAUUGAUGGUAUCAUUUGAUGAACUGAUGUCCCUUUUCGUCUUGUGUUGCACAUGCGAUGCGAGAUGAACCUUGACGCAGCCUUUGUGAUCCCCUCUUUCGAUGCACACGCAUUGAUUUUGUGGCUCAUUGAGUGUUGCUUGGUCUCACGGAUAUGGAACCUUGUGUGGGCAUGGGAUCUUUUACUAGUUCCUUGUUUGCCCUAGUUAAGCUUUUCACAUACGAUUUCCU